UACGAAGGGGGCUAGCGUUGCUCGGAAUCACUGGGCGUAAAGCGCACGUAGGCGGAUUGUUAAGUCAGGGGUGAAAUCCUGGAGCUCAACUCCAGAACUGCCUUUGAUACUGGCGAUCUUGAGUACGGAAGAGGUAUGUGGAACUCCGAGUGUAGAGGUGAAAUUCGUAGAUAUUCGGAAGAACACCAGUGGCGAAGGCGGCGAUCUGGACGAUGACUGACGCUGAGACGCGAAAGCGUGGGGAGCAAACAGG
rnacentral:rRNA from 1 species